GGGGGUGUAGCUCAAUGGUAGAGU
rnacentral:piRNA from 1 species